UACGUAGGUGGCAAGCGUUGUCCGGAUUUAUUGGGUUUAAAGGGUGCGUAGGCGGUUUUGUAAGUCAGUGGUGAAAUACUCCAGCUUAACUGGAGGGGUGCCAAUGAUACUGCAGAACUUGAGUACAGAUGAGGUAGGCGGAAUUGACGGUGUAGCGGUGAAAUGCAUAGAUAUCGUCAAGAACACCGAUAGCGAAGGCAGCUUACUGGGCUGUAACUGACGCUGAGGCACGAAAGUGUGGGGGAUCAAACAGG
rnacentral:rRNA from 1 species